UAAGUUUGAUGGCGACCGGCGCACGGGUGAGUAACACGUAUCCAACCUGCCGAUGACUCGGGGAUAGCCUUUCGAAAGAAAGAUUAAUACCCGAUGGCAUAGUUCUUCCGCAUGGUAGAACUAUUAAAGGAUUUCGGUCAUCGAUGGGGAUGCGUUCCAUUAGGUUGUUGGCGGGGUAACGGCCCACCAAGCCUUCGAUGGAUAGGGGUUCUGAGAGGAAGGUCCCCCCACAUUGGAACUGAGACACGGUCCAAACUCCUACGGGAGGCAGCAUG
rnacentral:rRNA from 1 species